CCCUUAGAUGCUCUGGGCCGCACGCGCGCUACACUGGUCGAUGCAACGAGUUUCUUUCCUUGGCCGACAGGCCUAGGCAAUCUUUGAACAUCGAUCGUGAUCGGGAUAGAUUCUUGUAAUUUUUGAUCUUAAACGAGGAAUUCCUAGUAAACGCAAGUCAUCAGCUUGCAUUGAUUACGUCCCUGCCCUUUGUACACACCGCCCGUCGCACCUACCGAUUGAAUGGUCCGGUGAAAUCUCCGGACUGGCGUGAGUCGGAGCAAUCUGACAAACACCGGAAAGUUGAUUAAACCUUACCAUUUAGAGGAAGGUGAAGUCGUAACA
rnacentral:rRNA from 1 species